rnacentral:lncRNA from 1 species
CUAGCAAGAAACUCUGAUAGAGUUUUUAUACCCAGGAUUGAAAAGAAGAAUAAAACUAAGAAGAGAGGAGAAUGAGAAAGACUCAACUUGUUCUGUUUUGGAAUGGGGGAAGAACUCUCUAUUUAUAGAGCUAGGAAAGAAUAAAAUAAAUAAAAGAAAUUAAAACCAAUAAAUAAUUUGACCGUUGCAGCACUUAAAAAUUUGGCUGUUGGAAUAUUACCGUUGGAGCACAUUAUUGGCAAUUAAAGUUUUGAAAGUUGUAAUCCAACGUUUUCUUUUGCAAUAAUAUAAUCAUUAUUACAACAAUCCCCCACUUAUUGCAAAAGAAAGUUGAGAGAAUUUUUUUUUUAUCUUAGGUCUCAUAGGAUGUAAUGCAUCAGAACUGAUAUAACAAGCUAUAUGAACCAGUCUUAGAUUGAGAAACUUAACACACAAUGUAGUUGGUAUAGCAAGCUAUAUGAACCAAAGACACUUGACGUGUGUUAGAGGUUUAUCAAUCACAAUACACC